rnacentral:rRNA from 1 species
UACAGAGGGUGCGAGCGUUGUCCGGAAUCACUGGGCGUAAAGGGCGCGUAGGCGGCUUGAUAAGGUUGCCGGUGAAAGCCGGGGCUCAACCCCGGGUCGGCCGUGGCAACUGUCGAGCUGGAGCACGUAGAGGCAGGUGGAAUUCCGGGUGUAGCGGUGGAAUGCGUAGAGGAUCCGGAAGAACACCGGUGGCGAAGGCGGCCUGCUGG